UGCAAGUCGAACGGCAGCACAGGAGAGCUUGCUCUCUGGGUGGCGAGUGGCGGACGGGUGAGGAAUACAUCGGAAUCUACCUUUUCGUGGGGGAUAACGUAGGGAAACUUACGCUAAUACCGCAUACGACCUACGGGUGAAAGUGGGGGACCGCAAGGCCUCACGCGAUUAGAUGAGCCGAUGUCCGAUUAGCUAGUUGGCGGGGUAAUGGCCCACCAAGGCGACGAUCGGUAGCUGGUCUGAGAGGAUGAUCAGCCACACUGGAACUGAGACACGGUCCAGACUCCUACGGGAGGCAGCAGUGGGGAAUAUUGGACAAUGGGCGCAAGCCUGAUCCAGCCAUACCGCGUGGGUGAAGAAGGCCUUCGGGUUGUAAAGCCCUUUUGUUGGGAAAGAAAUCCUGUCGGUUAAUAACCGGUGGGGAUGACGGUACCCAAAGAAUAAGCACCGGCUAACUUCGUGCCAGCAGCCGCGGUAAUACGAAGGGUGCAAGCGUUACUCGGAAUUACUGGGCGUAAAGCGUGCGUAGGUGGUGGUUUAAGUCUGCUGUGAAAGCCCUGGGCUCAACCUGGGAAUUGCAGUGGAUACUGGAUCACUAGAGUGUGGUAGAGGGAUGCGGAAUUUCUGGUGUAGCAGUGAAAUGCGUAGAGAUCAGAAGGAACAUCCGUGGCGAAGGCGGCAUCCUGGGCCAACACUGACA
rnacentral:rRNA from 1 species